CGUGAACGAUCACCGGAAGAUUUGGGAAUGUAAACAACGAAGAGUCCAGACAUCGAAAGACCGUAUUUCUUCAGCUUGUUUGGAUGAUUUAACCGAUUCUUACUUGUGUAAAAGUGGUCUAACAUGUUUUCUGUUAAAUAUGCUCUGUUUGUUUGGAUAAUUCCUUAGGAACCGUCAACAGCGGACUUGAAUAGAUGAUGUGCGAGUUCAUUGAUGGAUUUGCCUGCACUCAUGCGUCAUCAUGCGUCAUCACAGUAUAAAGGAUUUUAAUCUAAAAAUGAUGGAUUUGCCUGCACUCAUGCGUCAUCAUGCGUCAUCACAGUAUAAAGGAUUUUAAUCUAAAAAGAAACCCUGCAGAUUUGCAGCUGUGCAGAAUGCAGUUCAUGCCAUAUGCUGUUAGAGUAAAUGAUGAAAGAUAUUCAAACCAGUGUCAAAGAUUCCUAACAAUCUUAGUGCUUUUAUUAAGGAG